rnacentral:rRNA from 1 species
UACGUAGGGGGCAAGCGUUGUCCGGAAUCAUUGGCGUAAGAGCGUGUAGGCGGCCUGAUAAGUCGGCUGUGAAAGUCAAGGCUCAACCCUUGAAUGCCGGCCGAUACUGUCAGGCUAGAGUCCGGAAGAGGCGAGUGGGAAUUCCGUGGUGUAGCGGUGAAUGACGCAGAUAUCAGGAGGAACACCUAUGGCGAAGGCAGCUCGCUGGACGGUACUGACGCUGAGACGCGAAGCGUGGGGAGCGAACAGG